rnacentral:lncRNA from 1 species
CUUGGAUGGCAGUCAUUCACUAAGACAAAAAAAAAAGUAAUAAACAUAAAUGAGAUAAGUAGAUCUGGAGAAUAAACUAAUUUGAUUUUGGACACAUUAAGUUUAAAAGAAAAAAAGAGAAAGAACUGGCAAGAAAAAAGAAAGAAAGAAAAAAAAAAUCUUGUGGGAGUCCUUAAUCUUUAUUCUGGCAACAGUUUUUAACCGGACAGCUGGAGCUGGGUGCUUGACUCUUCUGCCUUGCGAAUGUCCUGUCCACCCUGCCCAAGCCCUGGGAAGGCAGAACCGGCCUCUGCCGAGCUUGGCCUUCAGACACCUCCUCCGAGGCACGGCGUUCACUGUGAGCUUGUGGACAGUUCUUGUGAGCUCGAGCUAUAAGGAAGCUCCUUAAAUGACUUUUAAGCCUCUACUCAAGCCUUCCAAAUCUUACCACCCUUAAAAAUCGAGCUGAAGAUCCAGGUCACAGUUCCCAACUUCCUUCUGGUUCAUGGUGUGAUUUUUCCUCCUCUUACACACAAGAAUGCAUCAGCUACUCAUGUGAAUAUGGGCCCUGCUACACCUCAGGAAGUAGAAUUCAAUGACUGAACAUGACAUUUUCAGAGAGUACAGGAGGUGAGUCUGCUAGGCUGGAAUUCCCACUGCAAUGAUGAGUGAUGAUUGUUACUAUGACUGGACUGAGGCCAUGCUGCACCCUGGAAUGAUCCCUUAUGAUUUCAGAGGCUUGCCGAAUAUCAGGUGCCGGUGAGCAGGAGGAGUAGGAGAAGGCGGAAGAGAAAGAGGAGGAGGCAGAGGACGAAACAAAAGAAAGAAGCAGUCUACAAACAUAAAAGAGUACAAGGAAGAUGAGAAACGCAAAGGUUUUGGAUACCAUACUCCCCUGCUCUAAGAUACACUUUUCAUUUUCACAUCUGAAGAUCCCCGUCACCAGGAUUCAUCUCACAACUGAUGGCGCCCUCCCUCAGCUGUCAGCGCGAACUUUCACGGAAGCUAUUAGCAAGAACCAGCAUGAUGGGGGAGAAGCACCGCUGUAUUCGUCACUACAAAACUCCAGAACAAAUUCACUGAAAGCUUUUAUUAGGGGAUUUGACUUUCUCCCAAGGAAGAUCGUUGCCUUCUGUUGCCUUCUGCUCUGUCCCUAGAGCCCAGAUCUCACAGUUUCUAGUCCAGAGUCCAGACAGAGUUGGCAGAGAAAAGUGACUCGAGUUCCUUGAAAACAAACCACACAUCCCUUCAUCUCUGCACCCCCUCCAGAGCCUUGCAGUCUUCACUGUCAUCACAUUCAAGCACAUGCUGCAUAAAGGAAGGAAGCGGGAAUGGAAUGGACAGGUAGCAUGCUGUGAAUAUAAAGACACUCAGUGGAUUCCUGGCCACUUGGACAGUGGAAGGGGAUUUUCUCAGAGCCACCAAAACCAAUAUUCUAGGCUCACCUAACAUAAUGUAACUGAGAAUUCUUGGUUCUAAUUUGAGGCACCUGAUACAUAAAGGAAGGCGCAUAGGAUGGAGGCCCCAGAGACCGUAUUUAUUACUCAAUGGGGCAGGAAAUUGGGAGAAGGCUCUGGUGUCCAGGAGAAGAGUUCAGGCCAGUGGAUUAAGCCCCAUCAUGAGCCAGGAACUGAGCUAGUCCUGGCUGAAAAUGCAACCACAGCACACACUUCUGCUCUCAAGGGGCUUAGGGUUCGGCGGGGGAGAGACUUACAUAAUACACAUGUGAGACAGUCACAAGUGCGAGAAGCCAUGUCUGCUCAUUUGUGCUUGUCAAGAUAAUUUCACACAGUCCCUGAAUCUGUGAGGCCAUGCAGCUCUUUGGGAAGAUGCUUUGAAGACAAAACAGGAUGGACCACAUGGCUCCCACACCACUUGCCUGAGUCACUAUGCUCCUUAAAAGAUGAAUGACCCUAGCCUUGACUUUUCCUACACAGAAGAUAACGUUUGACAGGGUUAGUGACUAUGCCUCUGUAAUUCAUUACUAAAUGCAUUUUAGUCAUCUAUAACCAGAUAUACUCUGGCACCCAGACUUUGACGUGAUUUUGCACGUACUGAACCUUCACCACCCGUCCAUAAACUGUGAGCUGAAACACCACAUUGGAGCCUCUGAUGGAACUGCUCCCGGGCUGUAGACCUCCAUCUACAGUCUUCGGUAAGGCUUCUGAAUAAAACUAACUUUAAUUCUUUAAAAGUUUGAUUUGUU